rnacentral:lncRNA from 1 species
CGGUUGUAAAUCUUCCGAUUGUUCUUCCUGUUCCGUUUCAAGGUCGUCGCUGCAGAAACCUACAAAGGACCGCGCACACACACGUGUGUCGCCUCUGAGACGAGGCGGCUCUAAAUGGAUCUGGAGGUCAUGGCAGCAAUGAGAAUUGAUUGGCGACAGUGAGGAAAGUCCAGGGAGGCUUAAGGAUGAAGGUGCAGCUGUGCGAUGAUGGGGUGACAGAACCAAUGGGAGCGUCUUAAGUGCGUCUGCUCCACGCUGUGGUUGAACCUGGAGGAACACCAGAGCAGCUGCUCCUGACUCAAAGGUGAGCGCUGACACCUGCGGAACCAAGAGGAGCCUCAGAGGGAAGCAGAACAAAGAUGGAGACUCACAAUCACAGAGUCGGAGAGAGAUUCACAUCGUAUUAGUGUCAAAAAUGGACAAAAGUUAGAGGCUGAACAUUUCACUUUCAGACAUUUGAACCUGGAACAUUUUCAGAGCCGCAGAAAGCUCUUCUUCACGGACUCAUUUGAAAUGCCUCAGAGGUCCGUUUACAGAGGAACUUUGGAUCCAAACCCGGACAGUAAACAGAACCUCGUCGGUCUCUCUGGUGUUGCUUUAAUUACGCGCUGGCAGCAGAUUCCAGGCCUGCAGGUGUACCUUUAAAAACAGAGGAACGUGGAGUUGGACGCCAGCUCUUUGACCAGCUGAGGGAGUCAUGUGACCUGCAGCGCUUAGUCUAACACAGAGGUCUGUAACCUGCAGCUCCAGAUCUUUCAUCUUUCAAUGGUGGCUCUCUGGAUGAAGAAAAAUAAAAUAAUAGUAAAUAAAAAAAAAUGGAGAUUAGCUAUUAUUUUAG